rnacentral:rRNA from 1 species
CAUGCAAGUCGAACGAUGAUGCCCAGCUUGCUGGGCGGAUUAGUGGCGAACGGGUGAGUAAUACGUGAGUAACCUGCCCUUGACUCUGGGAUAAGCCUGGGAAACUGGGUCUAAUACUGGAUACUACCUCCCGCCGCAUGGUGGGUGGUGGAAAGGGUUUUACUGGUUUUGGAUGGGCUCACGGCCUAUCAGCUUGUUGGUGGGGUAAUGGCUCACCAAGGCGACGACGGGUAGCCGGCCUGAGAGGGUGACCGGCCACACUGGGACUGAGACACGGCCCAGACUCCUACGGGAGGCAGCAGUGGGGAAUAUUGCACAAUGGGCGGAAGCCUGAUGCAGCGACGCCGCGUGAGGGAUGACGGCCUUCGGGUUGUAAACCUCUUUCAGUAGGGAAGAAGCGAAAGUGACGGUACCUGCAGAAGAAGCGCCGGCUAACUACGUGCCAGCAGCCGCGGUAAUACGUAGGGCGCAAGCGUUGUCCGGAAUUAUUGGGCGUAAAGAGCUCGUAGGCGGUUUGUCGCGUCUGCUGUGAAAGCCCGGGGCUCAACCCCGGGUCUGCAGUGGGUACGGGCAGACUAGAGUGCAGUAGGGGAGACUGGAAUUCCUGGUGUAGCGGUGAAAUGCGCAGAUAUCAGGAGGAACACCGAUGGCGAAGGCAGGUCUCUGGGCUGUUACUGACGCUGAGGAGCGAAAGCAUGGGGAGCGAACAGGAUUAGAUACCCUGGUAGUCCAUGCCGUAAACGUUGGGCACUAGGUGUGGGGGACAUUCCACGUUUUCCGCGCCGUAGCUAACGCAUUAAGUGCCCCGCCUGGGGAGUACGGCCGCAAGGCUAAAACUCAAAGGAAUUGACGGGGGCCCGCACAAGCGGCGGAGCAUGCGGAUUAAUUCGAUGCAACGCGAAGAACCUUACCAAGGCUUGACAUUCACCGGACCGCCCCAGAGAUGGGGUUUCCCUUCGGGGCUGGUGGACAGGUGGUGCAUGGUUGUCGUCAGCUCGUGUCGUGAGAUGUUGGGUUAAGUCCCGCAACGAGCGCAACCCUCGUUCUAUGUUGCCAGCACGUGAUGGUGGGGACUCAUAGGAGACUGCCGGGGUCAACUCGGAGGAAGGUGGGGAUGACGUCAAAUCAUCAUGCCCCUUAUGUCUUGGGCUUCACGCAUGCUACAAUGGCCGGUACAAAGGGUUGCGAUACUGUGAGGUGGAGCUAAUCCCAAAAAGCCGGUCUCAGUUCGGAUUGAGGUCUGCAACUCGACCUCAUGAAGUCGGAGUCGCUAGUAAUCGCAGAUCAGCAACGCUGCGGUGAAUACGUUCCCGGGCCUUGUACACACCGCCCGUCAAGUCACGAAAGUUGGUAACACCCGAAGCCGGUGGCCUAACCCCUUGUGGGAGGGAGCCGUCGAAGGU